AUUACGUCAUGAGAGCUGCGACGACCUAUAUGAGCCGAGUGAGACAGUGACUCGCUCCUUUUCUUUCCCACCCUCCGCCUACAGUGGUCGUUUCUGCGUGCUUCGGCGGUAUAACAUCUAGGCCGCUAACAUGAUCGUCUGCAAGGACUGCAUUACCGGAUAUGUGCCAAAGUCGGUAAAGCUGGACAUAGACGUGCAGAUAAACCUGCAAUAUUGGAUGAACGAUCAUGCGGUGCCAUCUCCCGACCUGCCACUAACCAUUCCGAUCAAAUAAAGUAGUAAAAGAACAGAUCAGCCGAUGUUCUGCCCCUGACAGCAAUCGUACGAUAGUUAUGUCUGACAAAGCUGUUUACAGUCUCCCACUGAAAAUGUUACUAUCGGCAAUACAUGCAGAGAUAUUAUCAGCAGCCGACAAAUCUUCUAGCCUGUCUGAUCGACUGAACGACAGGCUGAGACCUGCCACAAAAGUAACAUUCCUUUUGAUUCUUCCAUCUUGGCUGCUGCUUUUCAUCCAGGAACACCAGGACUAAGCAAGAUCUAGCAGACUCUAAACAGACGGAUGGCUUGAAUAUUGAGAAAUGUUAACAUUCCGUUUGAUUCUUCCAUCUUGGCUGCUGCUUUUCAUCCAUGAACACCAGGACUAAGCAAGAUCUUACCGACUCGAAAAAGACUUGUACAUUGAGUUUUUUUUGUUUUUUUUUUAUGGCCCUGAAUUAUUUUUUUUUUUUUUUCUUGUCGCUUAGAUUGAAUAAAGCCCAUCAUUCUCCACUGUAGACAUUGCAUUUUGGUUUAAUCUGCAAUAACUCUUUCAGACAGACUUUGAUUGGCAGAACAUUUUUAAAAGAAGUGGACCUUCAGUUUGUGGACAAUUUUCACACUUGAGUAAAAGUAUUCAAUCUGCCUCUGGGCUCCAGGUUUUUAGACUCCUCUGCCAGAAUGUCUUUCAACAUUGUAGCGAAUACCUCCUGGCUCUGAAGGGGUUUGUUACUGUGCAAAAACAACCGGGUUGUAACUUUGUUUGGAUUUGGAGAAUUAUUGACUUGCCUAAAUAAAUACGCUUACGCAGA